GGGGUUUUUGCUGGCUUUGCAGUCAGCUCCUCUUAAAAUUAUUAGCAAGGCUUUUGUUGCAACCUUCUAUUUGGUGUGAUAACUAUCUACAUCAUGGAUUAUGUGCACUUUGUAAUGUCUAGCUUCCUAACAGUCCAUUCACUUGGACAAAUUUUUGACAAUUUGACCUCAAAUCAGGUAGGACUACCCGCUGAACUUAA
rnacentral:misc_RNA from 1 species